AAGUCGUAACAAGGUUUCCGUAGGUGAACCUGCGGAAGGAUCAUUAACACGUAUCCACGUAUAUAAAUCUUAUCAACACUUACUACGAACUGUGCUCCCUGUUGACCAAUCUCUUAGCUGUCCGAUUUCCGGCUAUAAUGGGUCCCCGUUCUGUCAAAGGUUCGGUGUGGCACGUCUGGUUGGACUAUCACUCCUCUGAGAGUGUGGCUGAGCAAACGGAUUCAACAGGCUUACUAACUCUAACUGCCCGUGGAGAUAAUCCAAUCCCAACCAUUUUGGGCGGCAGGAAGGACACCAUACCAAUUUCACCCUAUGUUGCCCAUUUGACUAAUUACUUUAUAAUUUGUCGGGAGAAAUCCUGUAUGAAUUACAUCUAAGAUUUAUCUUAACUAAGCACAACUCUUAGCAAUGGAUAUCUUGGUUCUC
rnacentral:misc_RNA from 1 species